AGUGAACGCUGGCGGUAGGCCUAACACAUGCAAGUCGAACGGCAGCACAGUAAGAGCUUGCUCUUACGGGUGGCGAGUGGCGGACGGGUGAGGAAUACAUCGGAAUCUACUUUUUCGUGGGGGAUAACGUAGGGAAACUUACGCUAAUACCGCAUACGACCUACGGGUGAAAGCAGGGGAUCUUCGGACCUUGCGCGAUUGAAUGAGCCGAUGUCGGAUUAGCUAGUUGGCGGGGUAAAGGCCCACCAAGGCGACGAUCCGUAGCUGGUCUGAGAGGAUGAUCAGCCACACUGGAACUGGAACACGGUCCAGACUCCUACGGGAGGCAGCAGUGGGGAAUAUUGGACAAUGGGCGCAAGCCUGAUCCAGCCAUACCGCGUGGGUGAAGAAGGCCUUCGGGUUGUAAAGCCCUUUUGUUGGGAAAGAAAAGCAGCAGGUUAAUACCCCGCUGCUCUGACGGUACCCAAAGAAUAAGCACCGGCUAACUUCGUG
rnacentral:rRNA from 1 species